UAAGGAAUAUUGCUCAAUGGGAGAAAUCCUGAAGCAGCAACGCCGCGUGGAGGAUGAAGGGUUUUUAACUUGUAAACUCCUGUAAAGAAGGAAAAAAUUCCCAUUAGAUGGGAAAUGAUGGUACUUCUGGAGUAAGCCCCGGCUAACUACGUGCCAGCAGCCGCGGUAAUACGUAGGGGGCAAGCGUUGUCCGGAUUUACUGGGUGUAAAGGGUGCUCAGGCGGAUUUGUAAGUCAGAGGUGAAAUCUCACAGCUUAACUGUGAAACUGCCUUUGAUACUGCAAGCCUAGAGUAUGGAAGAGAGUGAUGGAAUAUCUGGUGUAGCAGUGAAGUGCGUAGAUAUCAGAUAGAACACCAAUGGCGAAGGCAGUCACUUGGUCCAUAACUGACGCUAAAGCACGAAAGCGUGGGUAGCAAACAGGAUUAGAUACCCUGGUAGUCCACGCCCUAAACGAUGAAUACUAGAUGUUGGCUUCGCAUGAAGUCAGUAUCUGAGCUAACGCAUUAAGUAUUCCACCUGGGAAGUACGAUCGCAAGGUUGAAACUUAAAUGAAUUGAC
rnacentral:rRNA from 1 species